rnacentral:rRNA from 1 species
UACGGGGGGGGCAAGCGUUGUUCGGAAUUACUGGGCGUAAAGGGUCUGUAGGUGGCUUGUUAAGUCAGACGUGAAAUCCCUCAGCUUAACUGGGGAACUGCGUCUGAUACUGGCGAGCUUGAGUGCAGGAGAGGAACGCGGAAUUCCAGGUGUAGCGGUGAAAUGCGUAGAUAUCUGGAGGAACACCGGUGGCGAAGGCGGCAUCCUGGACCAACACUGACGCUGAGUGAGCGAAAGCCAGGGGAGCAAACGGG